UACGGAGGAUGCGAGCGUUAUUCGGAUUUAUUGGGUUUAAAGGGAGCGUAGACGGGUUUUUAAGUCAGCUGUGAAAGUUUGGGGCUCAACCUUAAAAUUGCAGUUGAAACUGGAGACCUUGAGUACGGUUGAGGCAGGCGGAAUUCGUGGUGUAGCGGUGAAAUGCUUAGAUAUCACGAAGAACCCCGAUUGCGAAGGCAGCCUGCUAAGCCGCCACUGACGUUGAGGCUCGAAAGUGCGGGUAUCAAACAGG
rnacentral:rRNA from 1 species